UACGUAGGGGGCGAGCGUUGUCCGAAGUUACUGGGCGUAAAGCGCGCGUAGGCGGUCAUUUAAGUCUGAGGUGAAAGGUUCAGCGCUCAACGUGAACAGUGCCUUGGAUACUGGGUGACUUGAGUUCGGGAGGGGGCAGUGGAAUUCCAGGUGUAGCGGUGAAAUGCGUAGAUAUCUGGAGGAACACCGGUGGCGAAGGCGGCAUCCUGGACCGGUACUGACGCUGAGACGCGAAAGCGUGGGGAGCGAACAGG
rnacentral:rRNA from 1 species